rnacentral:rRNA from 1 species
GGAAGGUCCUGGCGUUAUCCGGAUUUAUUGGGUUUAAAGGGUGUGUAGGCGGGGAUGCAAGUCAGAUGUGAAAAUCACGGGCUCAACUCGUGAACUGCAUUUGAAACUGUAUUUCUUGAGGGUCGGAGAGGUAAACGGAAUUCCCAGUGUAGCGGUGAAAUGCGUAGAUAUUGGGAGGAACACCAGUGGCGAAGGCGGUUUACUGGACGACAACUGACGCUGAGACACGAAAGCGUGGGGAGC